UAAGACCAACAAUUUCAGCAGAAAUCAGUCCAAAUUUCAAACAGCUAAAGAAAAACUGGGCAACUUAGAGACAAGAAAAAAUUAAGCCACUUAAAAAAUUCGCUAAUUCAAAUGGAAACUAAAAAGGAAAAAAACUCAUAAUCCAAAUUCUUACAUGUCUCCACUACUAAGCCACACAAAAUUCCACGCCGAGCACCAAGUUAGAGAAAAUAAACAAAACAAGUAGAAAGAGAAAUCGAGAGAACAAAUAGCNGAAGGGGAAGAGUUAGUUACCUCGUGGUCGGAUUUAGUGAGCUCCAAUGGCUGCAAGCAACAAAGGUACUACUGAAAGCAGCAACGGCAUGGUAAGGGUUUUUCUGUGUAUAUAUAUAUAUAUAUAUAUUAUGGGUAAAUGAAAGAGUGGAUUUUUAAAAUGGCCACUUUCAUAUUGUAAAGAUGGGUGCAGUGCAAACAAAAUUUAAAAAUCAGGGUUUAGGGUUUAGGGUUCACCAACUGUUGAUCAUUGGAAAGCAGUGGAGCAGAUUUUGUGUUAUUUGAAAGGGGCACCUGGAUGGAAUUGUGUAUAGUGAUCACGAUCACAAUAAUAUUGAGUGUUUCUCAGAUGCUGAUUGGGCAGGGUCAAAAGAAGAUCGAAGAUCUACUUCUGGCUAUUGUGUAUUCUAUGGAGGAAACUUGGUCUCGUGGCAAAGCAAGAAAUAAAAUGUUGUCACUUGUUCAAGUGCAGAGUCAGAGUAUAGAGCUUUGGCCACAUCUACUAGUGAGAUAGUUUGGAUACAUCAAUUCCUGACUGAGGUAGGCUUGAAAGUCUCGGUUCCAGCUAAGUUAUGGUGUGACAAUCAAGCUGCGCUACACAUCUCGUCUAAUCCUGUCUUCCAUGAGUGGACUAAACAUAUAGAGAUUGAUUGUCACUUUGUUCGUGAGAAGAUUCAGCUAGGAUUGAUUGCUCCUGGAUAUAUGAGGACUGAAGAUCAGUUAGGAGAUCUUUUCACAAAGGCUCUCGGCGGGACGCGAGUAGAUUAUCUCUGUGGCAAGCUGGGCAUGAUUAAUAUAUAUGCCCCAGCUUGAGGGGGAGUGUUAGAGAUAUUUAAUAUAUAUGACAAUAAUUGACUAUUAAUAUAUAUGGUAGUAAUUGACUGUAAUUGAUUCUAGAAUAUUUAGUUACCUAGAAUAGAUCUAUAACUCUAGUAUAUAUUCAGACGUAAUCAGUCAUUGUUAAUAGACGAUUAUCAUGAUUUUCUCAAUCCCAUAACACCUUUCAAGGUUUGGAAUUACCGGACUUGAGGGGUCAUUCACCAAAUUUCAUCGACUUUGUCUACCAUCUACUACCUGGUUUGAAACGGGUGAGAUCUGCCCUUUGGCUAUGUGUUUAUAAAUUUGGUAGUGGUUGAUUAUUCAUGCGUACUAUUGGGCAAUGGUUGAUUGUGGCUUUGAGAUGAUAGUAUCAUGCUCGUUUAAGUGUAUAUGUAUUAAACCAUCUAUGAUUACCAAAUGUGUAUGAGAUGCUUGUUGGUAUAAGCUCUGUGUGGCCUUGUGCAUGUGUUUAUGUGCCUUGUGAGGCUGCAUUUGUUGGUGCCUAUGUGAUUAUGUGUCUUGGUGCCCUGUGUGGCCUUGCGCAUGUGUUUAUGUGCCCUGUGUGGCUGCAUUUACUGCUGCCUAUAUGAUUAUGUGUCUUGGUGCCCUAUGUGGCUGCAUUUGUCAGUGCCUAAGCAUGUUUGGUUGAAUCUGUUGGUGCCCUGUGUGGCUGCAUUUAUCGGUGCCCUAUGCAUGUUUGGCUGCAUUUGUUGGUGCCCUGCGUGGCUCAAUGUGUUUGUGGCUACAUUUGAUGAUACAUCUAAAAAUACUAAGGUUCUUCACAAUUAAGCCUUUUCUGCCCUUUACAAAAUCAUCCUUCUUUUUUCAACAAAAGCAUUCUUUUACAAAAUCAUCCUUCAUUUUGUAACAAAAGCAUUCAUUUACCAAAUCAUCAACAUUUCUAUAGACUGCCUUUACAAUAUCAUCAACAAAUGUAGGUCGCCUUUUACAAAAAUAUAGGAUGUUUUUGCAAACAUCAUCCUUUUACAAAAUAUAGGCUGAAUAGCCUAAAGAAACAUUUGGCUAUACUUGUUCAAUAGCCAAAUUAUCCAUUAGGCUCUCUUCCAUUCCAAUUGCUUGCAUUAGCUUUUCCAUCCACUCACAAUGCCCUUUUCCAUCAAAUAUGUAAUACACUCCUUCACCAACUCAUGAGACACCUUUAAGUUCAGUGGUAGUUCCCCUUGCCUUAUUAAGGCCCUUUUCUUCAUGUGAGGGAUCUUAUAGGUAUUAUGACCCUUCACCUUCAUGAUUUCAACCAUGCACCCUUGUAGGCUUAGAAACACAUUGUUUAGAGUAGUGGGUGAUAGUUCCUNNNNNNNNNNNNNNNNNNNNNNNNNNNNNNNNNNNNNNNNNNNNNNNAAAUAACUUGAAUAAAAUUCAGAUUUAUAGUACAUUAAGAUUGAGAUGAACUCUUAUCAUUCUAUUCUUACAACUUGCAAACAACUCUUUAGAAACCCAUACCUUAUGAAUAAAGUUGUCUCUGAUUACAUGUUUCUUGAUAGACUGAAUUGGUUUAUGUUCAAGUGUCCCUGCCGCUCUGUUUUUACUUGAUCUUUUUGCUGGAACCCAUUCUGUAAAUGGAAAAAUUCCUAUCUUUCCAUCAAACAAAAUAGUCCCAUCUGGUGCAAAUAAGGGCCUGCACACAACACACAUAAACAUAACCUUCUCAAUAAACUUCUUAGACUUGCAUGUCCUAUGUGGUUCGACUUCCCCGGGGGUCAAAUAAAACCUAUGAGAUGCUUUGGUUAUGUAGAAUCGCUUCUCAUCAAUAUGUACCAUAUUGUGCAUAUUCUUAAAUUAAAGAACCUUAAGUAUUCUAUCAUACUCAAUGGCUUCAAGUGAAAACUUAAGCCGAAGCAAUGUGUUAGGGGCUGUCAAGUUCAGUUUGAUUACACUUGUAUGAGCUUUGAUCAACUCCUUUUGAAUCCAUCGCCCCACUGUACUCUUGCUACAACUUAUACCACUUGCAAGUCUUCUAAUUGUGCUUCUCUUGCUUAAUUCCAAACUUGAAAUUUACUCCAAAUCGAUGUGCACCCUAUUGGAUCUUUUUUGACAUUUACCACUUAAUAAAUGUAUGUGCUCACCCUUUUCUUGUUGCUUCUUUGCAGAUGACCAAAGCCGACUUACAAUACGACGACCUGCCCCAAAUUUUACGACGGCCUCGUGCAUUCACCCAUGUUUUGGCUUACCAUCCUUGCUAUCAAGAAGAAGAAACUGCAUUAUAGCAUUUCUUUCUCCAGUGGUGUAAUCUGCCCCCCUCGUUUUUUUCCUUGUUUUUUUAGUUUUCAGAGUAGGAUGAGUUAUGUAAAAUCUGAAACUCUGGCAGAUUAUGUAGGGGGAGUCCCCCUUGCCUUUUGUAAAUUUUUAGUGGGAAAUUUGAAUCCCCAAUUUUUAAUGAAAAGAAGUUUGAAAUUCGGUCCUUAUUUAAAUUUGGCAGGAGGUGAAAUUUCAUUCCAACUUAGCGCCAAUUCUUUAGAAGGCUUACAGCUUGUAAUAUGCCUUCUUUAUUUUCGGCCAAUUAAAAAUUGAUAGAAGGUGACAUGGCUUUAAUUAAGGGAAUGAUUACUUUAGUUAAUAAAUGCUUUAAGUUGCGGGUCUCUAUCUUUACUACACUAAUAAUAUUUUCCUUAAUAAUCGUGCCGAAACCAAAUGGGGGACAAGUCCAAUGGGACGGGGGGAGUAUUUUUUUAUAAUAAAUUACUUGAAACUUUAAAAUGAUAAAAAAAAAAUGGAAAAUGACUAACUGGUGCUCUUAUGGAAUUAUAUUAUAAAGCGUUAAGUAUCAAAUAAAGCUUUUAACGUGGAAACCCUUAUUACAUUGCCGACCCUAUGGCAAAGGGGGCAUUAAAUAAACCCCUAUCGUAAUUAAUUUUGAACAAUUACACCCUUAGACCUAACGUCCACUUAACAACCGUUUACUUAUUAUUAUUUUUUAUUUUUCUUUUUUUAGUGGGUCCCACUUGUAAUUUUUAGGCGGGUCUUUAGACUGAAGAGAGGUGCAAUUAAUCAAUGGCGUGAAUCGGAGGAAGAAGAGAGGUGCAAUUAAUCAAUGGCGAGAAUCGAAGGAAGCAGAGGAUGGCUUGUCGGAAUAGCCGUCGUGCUCCUCCUCAUCACCCUGAAUUCGUGUAGGAAUAUAGAAGCCGGAGGCAAAUCCAAUCGAUGAAGGAUUGAUUGGUGGGUGAUCGAUGGAUGGGUCCAUCCAAACACAAAUUGAAGGUGUGUUAUUGGACUGAAGGGGUCCCCUCUGUGAAACAAACUGGUUUUAACUUGGCGCCAGCGGCACGUUCAACAAGUAUCCGUCUCCACCGCCAUUCCAGGCUGCAAGCCGCUGGAACUGGUGGUGCUCCGGCCAGCCGUCUAGGCCCUGUGGAGUGCCACAGAGUAGAACUUGUGUUUGCGGCUGAGCCUGAGGCUGAGGCUGCUUAUUGUAAUGGUGGAGAAGAAUCGAAUCUUGAAAUGAUUGCAGCGAGAGCCUCAAAUCCUGGCUGCUGCUGCCACCACCGUUUCUUGACACCAAAUCGGGAGCUGGGAAGCUUUGAAACCGCAUCGCACCGGAGCUGGCCUCGGCCGAAGCGGGGAAGAAGGACUUGAUGGUAUCAGCGAUGGCGUCGGAGUCUAAAGACGGUGGGAGAAAGCUCGAAUUCUGGGCGUCGGCGUUGCGGCUGUUGGCGUUGGCAAUCACCAAAUCGAUACCAAACUGGUGGCGGCGGCGCUCCUCCUCGAGGGCGGAAGUGGGAUGCCAGGCGAGCAGCUGGGCGAGUGGGACCCACCAAAAAAAGAAAAAUAAAAAAAAUAAUACUAAGUAAACGGCUGUUAAGUGGACAUUAGGUCUACUUCACAUUUGCUCAAGCAACUCAGACUCCACGUUCUUCACCAUUGUUCUGCCUUCUCGUUCUUCUCUUCUCCUCUGACUUGUACAUGCAAGAACCAGAGAGGAAGCAAGUAAAAGUGAAAAAGAAAGGAAACAAAAGGAAGAAUAAAGAAGGAAAGGAAGAGAUUCAGAGGAAACUCGAGGUGGGAAAAAUGUGUCCUCGGGACACUUUGGCUCAGAUUUUUCCCACACUAGGCAGUAGCUCUUCCGGCAGCUCAAUGAUCACGGCUCAGGUAAUAGGGAGAACAGAUCGGCACUCAGAUCUCACUUUGCACAGCCACCAACAGCAGGAAUCUGAUGAACAGGAUUCCGAUGGCUUGCACACCCACAGUGUAUCACCAAACAGGAAUCCGGUGACACAAGCAAUCAAUCGGAGCAGGGACGGAUCUAAGAAUUUAAUUAGGACCGGGCGAGAUUCAUCGGAUGAUUCUAAUGAAUUUUUAGUAAAGAAAACAAACCGGGCGACCGGGCGACCGCCGAGAUUUCAUCAAAAUAUAAAUAUAUAUAUAGGUAAUAAAAAAAAUGACCGGGCGACCGCCGAUGCUGCCCGGCCUUUAGAUCCGUCUCUGAAUCGGAGCGAAGUUCACACCCACAGUCACCAAUCAAGAAACCACGAACAGGAAUCCGGCGACACUUCAAGAAGGAAUAGCAGAGCCUUCCGAGUAAAACAGUGUGUGAAACUUGCUACGAUAGAAAGAUAUGCAGCGGGGAUAAAUAGGAGUGGAGUGGAGUAAAUGGUUUGUGGGAACACAAAAGGGGGCAACCAUCAAUGGGGGAGGAGCUCGAGGGAUCAGGAGACCAGAGGUCGGGGGAGAGCAAGGGUUUCGAGGGAUUUUGGGCUCGGGUUUGAGCUUCAAAGGUUUAAUGAGAAUUGGGUCAACAUUCCACAGUUUUGAUUGGUUGCUGCUCGCAUUGGGUAGGCAUUUUUUACUAGCAAAACAAAUUGCAGUUUUAGUUGUGUUUGCAUUCUUUUGUUUAUUUAUUUUCCCUAUUUUAUGUCUACUUUUUUGCAAUUCGACAAAUUUCGUUUAUUUUUUAAGUUAUUCGACAAUUUAUGUUAAUGUUUGGUUUCAAUCAAUGGAUUUUGGAUUCAAGUUAUUUCUGUGUUUGGCUUUGCACAUGCAAAAUUGAUGUAGCCGAUCAUCUCUAGCAUUAAAUUAAGGUACGUGUUAAUUUGGUUUGUAAUUAUAUUAUUUUGAUUUCUCAAAAAAUUCUCUUUCGAUGAUUAAAGAGUUGCUCAACUUUUCUCUUAUUUGUAGUAAUAUGCAUGGUUGGUUGAGUUUAGAUAUCCUCUGUUUGGAGAUAAUGGUUAUCAAGGUUCGAUCUCGAUUUUCAUCUUUAUGCGGAUGCCUCGAAUUCUUUAGAUUCAGUAUAGUAGUUAUAAUUUUCAGCAAUUCUAGGAUUUAUCACGCAACAUAAACAUGAAUCAAAAUAUAUAUUUUUAGAGUGUGUGUUGGCCAGAGUGGUUAAUGCUCCAACGGUCUAGGUUCCAGUCACUGUGGCACAGUCUUUAAUUUUUUUAUAUUUAAUAUUAUUAAUCUAUCAAUAUAUAUAUAAUUUAUGUUUGUUUUUUAGCUCCAAAUUGUGUUAACGUUUUCACACCCGUAGUAUACAAUAUAUGACAUAUGUUUGCAGUCAUAAAUUUCAGGAAUGUACACAUUGUAUAGUUACCUACGACUUUCUAUUCAAAAUAUUUUUUUCUUGUAAAAUUUGGCAUAGAUUUCUGAAAUAAAUUUUUAAGAGUAAUAUCCAUUCUCUCCAAUCAAAUAGUAAAAUUCUUUUGUUCUCGUCAAUCCAGAAGCUACCCAUUUCAUCGAUAUGCGUUACCUUCAAAAGCCAAUCUCUAUUAUAUGUGUAUGCAGAAAAAAAAAUAUUAAUUGACUAAUUGAGUAUGUAACAAUCACAUGAACUUUAUGUUGGAAACUCGACUAAUUGAGUAUGUAACAAUUACAUGAACUUUGUGUUGAAAACUCGGUAAUGUACCUGGCUGCACUCCCUUAUGUUUGAGGAUAUAAUUUUCUUUCAUGUUUAAAUUUGUUUUCACAUUUUUUUUGGAAUCGUUUAUUCCAUUGAACAGUCUGGAAAUAAUUUUCAAUUUAUUUAUCUGCAUGAUUUUGCAAUUUAGAUAUAAAUUAUGAGCUACCAUGAGUGAUGCAUUGCAAAUCAAGCUCCUCUUCACAUAUUUUUUUAGUUAUUAAAACAAUUAUUAGCACGAGUGCACAAACUUCCAAUUCUUUCUAGGGUUGAAGCUU
rnacentral:lncRNA from 1 species